ensembl:snRNA U6 U6 spliceosomal RNA
AUACUACAAUUUGUAGUAUAUGUAAUAAAUUGGGAACGAUACAGAGAAGAUUAGCAUGGCCCUGUGCAAGGAUGACACGCCUAAUCGUGAAGCGUUCUCAUUUUUA